rnacentral:pre_miRNA from 1 species
CAUCCAGGGGAAACACUUCCACAUGAGCUAGAUUACGGAAACCUGUGUGCAUAAAGGCUUCUGCUACAUU